CAAGAAACCUCCAACAGGUGUCAAGAAACCUCCAACAGGUGUCAAGAAACCUCCAACAGGUAUCAAGAAACCUCCAACAGGUGUCAAGAAACCUCCAACAGGUGUCAAGAAACCUCCAACAGGUGUCAAGAAACCUCCAACAGGUAUCAAGAAACCUCCAACAGGUGUCAAGAAACCUCCAACAGGUGUCAAGAAACCUCCAACAGGUGUCAAGAAACCUCCAACAGCUGACGACAAAUUAACCUCUAACAGGUUACAGCAAACAAACCUUAAACAGGUGUCAAUAAACAAUCCUUCAACAGAUACCAGCAGUACAGGUGCGUUAGGUACAGGUGCCCACGAACUGGGACAGAGCCACAGGUGUUAGUGACCAACCAGCAACCGGUACUGACAAUCCAGAGAUGUAUUCAGCAAACGAAUGACACACAACAAUAAUGACACUGAACCCGACGCUCGGAGACCAAGGGGCACUGAAUCAGACACCGUCAUGGUGCUUCUGAGGACUGUGUUGAUCCUGCUGCAUACCUGCCAUCCUGGCACACCUGUAUCCCACCCUGGCACACCUGUAUCCCACCCUGGCACACCUGUAUCCCACCCUGGCACACCUGUAUCCCACCCUGGCACACCUGUAUCCCACCCUGGCACACCUGUAUCCCACCAUGGCACACCUGUUAAGAUUCAGAAAUGGAGAGCGCCCUUGCAUCAUUUCUCCGCCCUUCACCUGGCAGCUGAUCAACAUCUGUCAGCACGCCAACACCACCCAGUAGACAAACACCUGCCAGCUGACCAACACCUGCCAGCUGACCAACACCUGCCGAGUGUGUCUGGGCGAGCCCAGAUGACAGAGCAGGCGCGAACAAUUUUACCCCCAACACCCAAUAGGGUGAAGAGGCUUGUAAAGACAAUUAAUCUUCAUGGAGGAAAGAGAAGAAAAAAAAAGGGAAAGAAGAAGCGGAUAAAACAGAAGAGGAGGGGAAGAAAGAGAAUGAGGCAGUUGAAAGGUGGAGACUCAAAACACGAGCAACGUCGCCGGGUCAAGGAAGCCUUAUCCAUUGUGCCUUGGACCCCAGGACAUCCUGGUAACUUAACCUUGCCUCACUCAUCAACUCUAUCUCACUCACCGGCCUCCAUCACUCCACUUGACCCAAAGAAAUCCGAACUGGUUGAGCUGGUCACAGGAAGCAAGUAUCACUUCUUGUUGCAAGCCACACGAGCACCCAUGCUGGCGAACCACAGUUGGAAAGACCCUUCAGGCGAAAUGAGUCUACUUUCCACAGAAGACUCAAGCCAAUUUCUCAUUCCACUUGAUAUUGCUAAUAGCGAGAGCUUGAAGUGGCUUCCGUACAACCCAGACAUCAGAGUGAGCAUCCAUGUUGUUGGUGAAGGUGUUGGCGACGAGGUCCGGACGCCCCUGCCGCCCCGAGCCCAGGACCACCCGAACUCACGCCACCACAAUCACCACCAGCAGCAAAAUACGAUUCAAGGUUGGACCCGAAACACGGAGGACGAGGAGCCAGGAGAUGGGCGUCUUAUGUCCGUCACUACUGAACACCCACUCACCCGGCACCCCAUGAGUACUGCCCACCCACUCAUCCGGCACCCCAUUGUGAAAAAGUGGAAUCCCAUAAAGAUGGAACAGCCUCAACACCAUAGUGAGGAUGCAAGACCGGGAGAUGAAGGAACCCGACAUCAUGGUGAUGGCAUGUCACCAAAAGGUGGACAUACCCAACACCAUGGUGAUGGCAUGAAACCAAGAGAUGGAGGGUCCCGACACCACGGUGAGGGCAAUAGAACGAGAGGUGGAGCGUCUCAACACCAUGGUGAUGGCACGAGACUAAGAGGAAGAGGGCCUCAAAAGAAGAAAAAGAGGAAAAAGUUGGCAAACAUUACAAAAGUGAAGAUUAAAGAAAAAAAAAUUGGGGACAAUGACAGAAUGAAUAAAAAGUCCAUUAACACGCAAAGUGAAGAUAGAAGAUCAGUACGAAAGCAAGGGAAAAUACAAGACGAAAAGGAGAAAAGGGGUAAAGAAGGAAGGAGGAGAGGAGAGGAGAGGCAGACAGGGUCGACACAGGACUUGGUGCUGGGCCUAGCUGAGGCCCUGGAGCAGAUCCUCAGCACGGACCAACAAGACCUACAGCCCACCAGUCACCACACUGCUGCUGGAGGUGACCCGUGUACCGCUUGGUCCACCUGCCGAGUGGAGGAGGCGCUGCAGGAACUGGCUAGCCUGGAGACACUGCCCUCCUGCCCCUGCUUGUACCCUGCUGACCUACCCUACCAACACCAUAUUUAUGACCCCAUCCACCACACCCACUUCAGCUGACGUGCACCUGACCGCCGCAACAGGUGGGUGGGAGUGAGUAGCCAACGGGAGAGGAUCGACGUGUAUCACCGAGGCGCCCAACACUGUAUCCGCUCCCACGUUACCUCGGCCUCCCUGGCCGCACAGACCUGCUGCUACGACAGAGAGCGACAGCUACUGACACGAGGGAG
rnacentral:misc_RNA from 1 species